rnacentral:rRNA from 1 species
AGACGUUGGAAAUUUAUUUUCAGUGUCGCAGGGAAACCGAUAAACACACCGCCUGGGGAGUACGACCGCAAGGUUAAAACUCAAAUGAAUUGACGGGGACCCGCACAAGUAGUGGAGCAUGUGGUUUAAUUCGAAGAUACGCGCAGAACCUUACCAACACUUGACAUGUUCGUCGCGACUCUAAGAGAUUAGAGUUUUCGGUUCGGCCGGACGAAACACAGGUGCUGCAUGGCUGUCGUCAGCUCGUGUCGUGAGAUGUUGGGUUAAGUCCCGCAACGAGCGCAACCCUCACUUUUAGUUGCCAUCAUUAAGUUGGGCACUCUGAAAGAACUGCCAGUGAUAAGCUGGAGGAAGGUGGGGAUGACGUCAAGUCCUCAUGGCCCUUACGUGUUGGGCUACACAUGUGCUACAAUGGCAUCUACAACAGGAAGCAAAACGGCAACGUUAAGCAAAUCCCGAAAAGAUGCCUCAGUUCGGAUUGCACUCUGCAACUCGAGUGCAUGAAGCUGGAAUUACUAGUAAUCGUGGAUCAGCGUGCCACGGUGAAUGCGUUCCCGGGUCUUGUACACACCGCCCGUCACACCAUGGGAGUUGGUUCUACCUUAAGGCAAGGCUUUAAACCCUUGACCACGGUAUAGUCAGCGACUGGGGUG